rnacentral:rRNA from 1 species
UACGUAGGGCGCAAGCGUUGUCCGGAUUUAUGGGGCGUAAAGAGCUCGUAGGCGGUCUGUCGCGUCGGCUGUGAAACCCCGAGGCUCAACCUCGGGCCUGCAGUCGAUACGGGCAGACUAGAGUGUGGUAGGGGAGACUGGAAUUCCUGGUGUAGCGGUGAAAUGCGCAGAUAUCAGGAGGAACACCGGUGGCGAAGGCGGGUCUCUGGGCCAUAACUGACGCUGAGGAGCGAAAGCGUGGGGAGCGAACAGG